GUGUUAGGGCACGUUCUGAGCGAGGUUCGGAGAGAGCCUAUCGCUGAAGAGAGGAAAAGGGAAUAUAAAUGCUGUGCCUAUGAACAGAUCUGAAAUAAAGAUGAGUUAACUUUUGUACACCUUACUAGCCUGACGUGUUUACUUCUUCUUAAAGAUUGAAACCCAAUUAUAGUUUUAUACGGUGUCUAUUUAUUCCUUUGGUAUCCACCUCGUAUAAUCCUCUUUGUAGUUAUUACAAUUGGCGACGAGAAAAGUACGAAAAAGUGCAAUUUCGAGACAGUUAUUCACUCAAGUUCAAUAAUUGGAAAAUAUUUCGCCCUACAUUCCCAGAGUUCAGCUUACUCCUUCUGAGAGGCCAUUGCGAGAGUGAGUUCACCGUUCAUCGAUUUCAUCGAUCGCACACACACGACAGCCGAAGUAAUCUCACGUCUCCCGCGGUGCCGGUGGCGCGAAGUGGUGUGCGGCAUACAGCAAUUGAGUAACCUACAGUGUUUACACCAGACAGUGACAGACCACUGUUUAUCACUACUACUACAAAGCGGCAGCCUGUGCAGUGCAGUAUAGUUGCUUGGAUUGUGCUGUGUAGAAAAGUGCAUCCAUUGUUCGUUCGGGCUGGACCGACUUGCCUCAAUAGAUCAGCUGUUUGCGACGACGACGACCAAGCUGAGUUGGUGCUUUUAUAUUGUGAGAGGUUGACUUUUGCCACGGGUGUUCUCUUGAACGUUAUUUUGGUUGCCGCCGCAGAAUUCUUUGAAGGUGAAGUACUACAGUGUUCAAGAUAUCGCUCGGAGGAAGGUUGAUUGCGGCACACAAACGACAGAUUAAGAUUUCCGACGAUCAUAGCCGCAAAUCCGUUCCACGCUUCGUGUUAAGCGAAGAAAAUGAGCAUAUUAAUUCAAGAAAGCGAAGGAGAGAAGUCGAUACUGAAGAUGACGGAUGCAUAUCCGAUCAAGAGCCUGAUUUUUAUGGAUUCCCGGCGGAAUCGUUUAUUUUUAGAGAAGAUUCUCCGAUCGGAGAUCAAAUAGAUAGGCAUGAAAUUAAUCAGGAU